ACUAACCAAGCUUCUUCUUGGUUUUCAAAGCUUUGAUGGUGUAGUCAAAGUCCAUAUGAGUCUUUGGCUUUCUAUCUUCUAACAAGGAAACAUUACUU
rnacentral:sRNA from 1 species